AGAGAGAGAGAGAGAGAGACAGAGUGACUCCCAAAAGAAAUGCUAUCUUCCUUUGACAAAUCUUGCUUCCUGAAGCACCCAUCAAUUGAAAAAUCCAGCAAAUCAAAGUCAUCUAAAAUUUUCAGUUAAAAAUGCAUCUCAACUGGUUGUAUAGUUGCACCAAUAAUGAACACAUGUUAGAGAUUUGAGCAUGUGCAUGUGCAUGAAAGCACAACUACAAUACGCGCAGAGGUAUGUGUGCGUGGAUGUAUAUGCAUGAACAUUCAUGUGGAAGCACAUGUAUAGAGUACAUGUAUUUAUAUGAAAUGGCCAUCCCCAAGGUUGCAUUUGGAUGGGAAAGCAUUUAAAAAGAAUGGAUUUGGACAAGUUAUUUUAGUUUCAAUAUAUGAUAUUCUUUGGUACAGGGCAUUGGAGAUUAUAUUCAUGACUAUCGAUUAUAACUUGUUCAAGUAUGAAUGGAACAGCUAAACAGAUGUAACUUCAAAUAGACAUUCUAAGAUUUGGUUUAAGCAUUUUUCCCCUCCCCUUACAAACUUAAAUUUUAAAUUAGAUAAUUUCAACUCAAAUAAAUCCUUGAGUUUUUAAGUCCACAAACCAAACUCACCCCGAGGGAAAUUUGAGGAAGAUGUCUCUCGGACUCCCACAAGGUAAGAAUUCUAGAUUUAAAGGUAAUUAAUACAAUAGCCCUAUAACAAUAAGCCACCAAUGAGCACAAGUUUAUGGAGAAAUGGUAAUCAAGCAAUAAAGGAAUAAAUUGCUUCAUAUGAUUAACUUAAUCUAACAAAAUCCACAAAGCAUUGUACUUUCAAUAUUCCUAACAGCUAAAGAGAAAAGCACAAUUGCAGAAAGCACUCACCAAUAGUGGGAAUAGUGGUGACGAUCUCACCCAACUUGAGCUUGUAGAGGAUUGUAGUCUUACCAGCUGCAUCAAGACCCACCAUCAGAAUU
rnacentral:misc_RNA from 1 species